UACGUAGGGGGCAAGCGUUGUCCGGAAUCAUUUGGGCGUAAAGAGCGUGUAGGCGGCCCGGUAAGUCCGCUGUGAAAGUCCAGGGCUCAACCCUGGGAUGCCGGUGGAUACUGUCGGGCUCGAGUCCGGAAGAGGAGUGUGGAAUUCCGUGGUGUAGCGGUGAAAUGCGCAGAUAUCAGGAGGAACACCAAUGGCGAAGGCAGCACUCUGGGACGUGACUGACGCUGAGACGCGAAAGCGUGGGGAGCAAACAGG
rnacentral:rRNA from 1 species